AUUGAACGCUGGCGGCAGGCUUAACACAUGCAAGUCGAGCGGUAGCACAGGGGAGCUUGCUCCCUGGGUGACGAGCGGCGGACGGGUGAGUAAUGUCUGGGAAACUGCCUGAUGGAGGGGGAUAACUACUGGAAACGGUAGCUAAUACCGCAUAACGUCGCAAGACCAAAGAGGGGGACCUUCGGGCCUCUUGCCAUCAGAUGUGCCCAGAUGGGAUUAGCUAGUAGGUGGGGUAAUGGCUCACCUAGGCGACGAUCCCUAGCUGGUCUGAGAGGAUGACCAGCCACACUGGAACUGAGACACGGUCCAGACUCCUACGGGAGGCAGCAGUGGGGAAUAUUGCACAAUGGGCGCAAGCCUGAUGCAGCCAUGCCGCGUGUGUGAAGAAGGCCUUCGGGUUGUAAAGCACUUUCAGCGAGGAGGAAGGUGGUGAGCUUAAUAUGUUCAUCAAUUGACGUUACUCGCAGAAGAAGCACCGGCUAACUCCGUG
rnacentral:rRNA from 1 species